CUUGAGCGAGCCGAGGAGCAGCGGCUGACCGUCCGCGCGGUCCUGCCCGUAGGUGGCCAGCAGGGCCUGGGCCUC
rfam:Streptomyces albolongus strain YIM 101047, complete genome.